UCCCCGUUGGUCUAGUGGUCAUGAUUUCCGCUUGUCAUGUGUGACAGGGGUUCCUUUACAUGGCAAAGCGCGGGAGACCGGGGUUCGAUUCCCCGACGAGGAG